GGUGGGGUUCCCGAGCGGCCCUAAAGGGAGCAGACUGUAAAUCUGCCGUCAUCGACUUCGAAGGUUCGAAUCCUUCCCCCACCACCA
rnacentral:tRNA from 1 species